AUCUUCUUAUUCAGAUCUAGGUUUUUUGUUGCUAUUAAAUGGUGAUGAAGAGGUUUUGGUGUUCUCAUUUUAAUUUUCAACCUUUUUUUUACAGUGGAUUUCAGAGGUGUGAUAUUUCUAUUUUUUGUCAUAUCUUUGACUCUAUCUUUGACUUUCUACUCAGAUCUACGAAAUCAUGACGGUGGCUAUGGCGUUUCCGACGAUAGGUGGUUUGACAGUGGUAGACUAUAGUAGCGGCAACACGUUUUUUUACGGCGGGUGUGGUGGUGGUUGGAUUCCAAAUGAUUUGUGGUUGUUGAUGUUUUAUUGUUAUGGUGUCUCGAAUAUCGCUGGAAAACACAUCGAUUGGUUUUUCACCUUCGACAAGGUUCUGUUGCCGGAGGAGAUGUCAGGCCGUGUUAGAAACCACCCGGAAUUGCAUCAGAUGAUGGAAGUGGUUAUGGAUUUAGGACGGAAACCACUCGCCAUGUUUCCUUUGCCAAAUGAAGUUUUGUUUUUGUUUUUGUUUUCUGGUUUUUUGCAGGUGUUGAAGAUGUUGGUAUAUCGAUGUCGUCAAGCCUGUGUCGGCUAUAACGGUGUUAUACAGUAGUGGAAGGUGAGUAUCUAUAUGAGAUACCUUUUGUCAUACUUUUGAAAAGACGUGUUUCACUCUCUUAUUUAUGGCCUACAUAAUUUCUACUGGUAUCUCAAAUGCUUAAUAUGCAUGAUUCUUAUAAUUUGCUACAAUGCUGACUUAUUAUUACCUCACAUUUCUAGAUUGUAACAUGCAAGCUAACCAAUUUCAGCAAUGCUUGUAUAUAUGUGAGGUAUGACCCUUGAAAUGUGUUGCCUAUUUGGAACUUUUUAGAACUAAGAAGUUAUUGUAUUUAUGCAGCUACUCAUAGAAACAAGAUUUUGUAACAAAUUUACACUGGUUGCAGAAGAAACUUUAUGAUAUUUGAUUUGUGUGCAUGCUAUUUUUGGUUUCAUAUGUGUUUCUAUUUCAAUACAAAGAAUCCGACCUGGGAGUCUGUUACGUAUGGGAUCCUUCUCUGCAUUGAUUGUUCCUCUGUUCAUAGAAGUCUUGGUGUUCACAUCAGUGCGACCGUAGAGAUGUGGCUGCAAUGAUGGAUCUACACAUUCACCUUUUCCUAAUGAAGAUGAUUAGUUUUAUCUUUGUUGCUUCUAAGUUUCAAAUUUAUAGUUAGCAAACUCACUGCAUUUCUUUUUCCAUGAUAUUUUAGGUUAUUAGCCAAGGAACUACAUAUUCGAAAAAGGUGUGUUGAAUGACUUGCUGGAAUGGAAGUUGAAAAUUCAGGGAGCCUAAAUGGAAGCUGGAAAUAGUUGUGCACUAUUUUUGGAAAUACAUAACUAAGUGAGACAUUCAGCUUGGUCUGUAAUCUUGUGACAUAUAUGGAGAACAAUCGAGCAGGAAUCGCUGUUUAUGGAUUCAUGCUUGACAGAACUUGGCUUCACUCCAUUUUCGAUAUUUAAUUGGCUCUGCCUUUGGCUACUUAACAGGACAAUUGGUAUUUAGAGACAAAUGUAACUGCUAUCGAAUCUGUUAGGAAUUCUAUUUUUUCAUAUGCAGAAUUCUGUUAGCAAAUUUGGUGUGGUUUAAUUUUCGUGUCGGUUUGGUUUUUGUUAAGUUGCAGGUCGGUUUAUUAGCCGGGGGUUGGGAUUGAAAUAUGCAGGUAAGACAUUGACGGUUCUAUGUCGAGGUGCACUGUUAGAGAAAGUUUGUGGCUAGGUGGUUUCAUGUGGUUUCAUGUCUGCAAGGCCAUAUAAUUUCAGGAAGGUAGGAACAAAGCUACCUAGAGGAGUAUACGAAUAAUGAAUCCGCUUACGGAAUUCCGGAAUUGCUGCUCAUAUGGUGGAGUUAAAUGUCACCAAAUAAUUUAUGUGAUGGUCACACUAAAUGUUUUUUGGAAUUACGGAAUUUCUGGACAGUUAAAUAUACAAACAACUUAUCGCUUUUAUUGUGAUUAUAGUAUUUUUGCAUUCACCAAUGAUAAUUCUUUAUUAGAAUGUACAGGGCUGAAGCAUUUAACAUAUAUUCAAUUUGACUGCUACCAUAUUGAUCAAA